rnacentral:rRNA from 1 species
UACGUAGGGUGCAAGCGUUGUCCGGAAUUAUUGGGCGUAAAGAGCUCGUAGGCGGUUUGUCGCGUCUGCUGUGAAAACCCAGGGCUUAACCCUGGGCCUGCAGUGGGUACGGGCAAACUAGAGUGCGGUAGGGGAGAUCGGAAUUCCUGGUGUAGCGGUGAAAUGCGCAGAUAUCAGGAGGAACACCGGUGGCGAAGGCGGGUCUCUGGGCCGAUAUUGACGCUGAGGAGCGAAAGCGUGGGGAGCGAACAGG